rnacentral:rRNA from 2 species
GUGGAUCAGUGGCGAACGGGUGAGUAACACGUGGGCAAUCUGCCCUGCACUCUGGGACAAGCCCUGGAAACGGGGUCUAAUACCGGAUAUUACCUGCCGAGGCAUCUUGGUGGGUGUAAAGCUCCGGCGGUGCAGGAUGAGCCCGCGGCCUAUCAGCUUGUUGGUGGGGUGAUGGCCUACCAAGGCGACGACGGGUAGCCGGCCUGAGAGGGCGACCGGCCACACUGGGACUGAGACACGGCCCAGACUCCUACGGGAGGCAGCAGUGGGGAAUAUUGCACAAUGGGCGAAAGCCUGAUGCAGCGACGCCGCGUGAGGGAUGACGGCCUUCGGGUUGUAAACCUCUUUCAGCAGGGAAGAAGCGCAAGUGACGGUACCUGCAGAAGAAGCACCGGCUAACUACGUGCCAGCAGCCGCGGUAAUACGUAGGGUGCGAGCGUUGUCCGGAAUUAUUGGGCGUAAAGAGCUCGUAGGCGGCUUGUCGCGUCGGAUGUGAAAGCCCGGGGCUUAACCCCGGGUCUGCAUUCGAUACGGGCAGGCUAGAGUGUGGUAGGGGAGAUCGGAAUUCCUGGUGUAGCGGUGAAAUGCGCAGAUAUCAGGAGGAACACCGGUGGCGAAGGCGGAUCUCUGGGCCAUUACUGACGCUGAGGAGCGAAAGCGUGGGGAGCGAACAGGAUUAGAUACCCUGGUAGUCCACGCCGUAAACGUUGGGAACUAGGUGUUGGCGACAUUCCACGUCGUCGGUGCC